AGAAAGAAGAGGACAUAAUCCACCAGAAAAAGAAACAAUCUGCGGUAGGAUGGACUCUCCCAUGAUUCACGUAAGAAAGAAAAAGAAACAAUCUGUUGCAGGCUACCGACAAGAACUCCUCUAUCUUCCCCUUAGCCUUCAACUUCAUCACCCCUUCAUCCUGGAGCAUCAUCGAGGGCAUCCCCUGUUGCUGCAUCCAUGUUAGAAUCAAUCCAAGAACAUGGUCUGAUCUAAUACAGCCUCUGGAUCAUACACCUACAUCUCUUGACAGGAAAGACUGGAUCCGACAUGCCGAUGGAUUCAAGUCUGAUGGUUGCCAAUGAGAGCAAAUCCAUUGGUUUACAGUGAGUCUCUGGCAUUGAUGCAACUCCGCCGCCCCCUCUGACCUUCAGGUUUGACCUUCUUCCUCCAUAAUCAAUCAAUACCCACGGUCUAAUCUGGAUGAUUUUUCUGCCGGUGAGAUACAUAAUGAUGCACAGAUGGAAUUUUAAAUACUUGGUGGCUUCAUGUGCGAUCUGGAUGCCCUUGAGUAGGUUUUGGAGAAAUAGAGAAAUCAUAUCAAUUCUGUGAUAAUUCAAAAGAAUCCAAUUAAGCAGCCUUCUAGGCUCCCUUCUUGGCGUCCUCUUGACAGGAAAGACUGGAUCCGACAUGCGGAUGAAUUCAAGUCUGGUAGUUGCCAAUGAGAGCAAAUCCAUUGGUUGACAGUGAUUCUCUGGCACUGAUGCUUCAGGUUUGACCUUCUUCCUCCAUAAUCAAUCAAUGCCCACGGUCUAAUCUGGAUGAUACAUGAUGUUUGUUUUCUGCCGGUGAGAUAUAUGAUGAUGGACAGAUGGAAUUUUGAAUACUUGGAUGCUUCAUGUGCGAUCUGGAUGCCCUUGAGUAGGUUUUGGAGAAUAGAGAAAUAUAACAAUUCUGUGACAAUUCAAAAGAAUCUAAUAAUUAAGCAGCCUGCUAGGCUCCCUACUUGGCGUCCUCACCCUUCUGCCCAACCAGAUGGCUCCUCUGUAUAGGUUCUAAUGCUUCAGUAGUAGAAUUUUCUUAUUCUGCUGAGAAAGUCGGUCAUAUCUUACUAAUUAACAUGUUGGGAGCUAUUAAGACAUCCGUGCAUGGAUCACUUCAAGAGUCAUCGCAAUUUUGCUCGCAGGUAUCUUCCAGCGGAGGAGCAGAUGUGCUGACCACUGUUUGAAGCAGAUCAGAUGGCCGCCACUGCCGAAGAGGCUGCCGAGUAAACAUAUACACUAUGGUGGACCAGUAGCCCAGCUGUUCACCUUCGACAUCGUUCAGUUUUGUUGAUGUUGUGCUAGCUCCGCAAAGGAAGAUCCGUGGCAAGUGCAUUGCAUGCGCAAGUAAACUGGGCUUGACUAAUGUUGAGGAUGCAAGCAGGUCCAACGAUAGGUAAAGAAAUGAGGUUUGAUCGAGCGGCUUAUAUAUCAAGAGGCAACCGAAGGUACCAUCGGAUUGGCUAUAUGAGGUGCAAGCAGCUCCUGUACACUGGCGGGCGUCAGCUACAUCCAAUAUAUGUAUCCUGUAUCCUGCUGCAAAGUAGUGGCCGGUGUGAUACAGGCUUAGUACACAUAGUACCUUUCCCGGGAGGAAGGUUUAGUCUACAUAAGCGUACAUUCCAAACGGCUUGAUUCCUAAAGUACGUUUUUUUC